AAAGAAUUAGUUAAAUACUAUAACAUAAAUAUGUCAAAUUUAAAUUAUUAUACAAAUAAUAUUCUUUU
rnacentral:tRNA from 1 species